UACGAGGGGGGCAAGCGUUGUUCGGAAUUAUUGGGCGUAAAGGGUGCGUAGGUGGUUCGGCAAGUCUCGUGUGAAAUCUCCGGGCUCAACUCGGAGCCUGCACGAGAAACUGCCGGGCUUGAGUGUGGGAGAGGUGAGUGGAAUUCCUGGUGUAGCGGUGAAAUGCGUAGAUAUCUGGAGGAACACCGGUGGCGAAGGCGGCAUCCUGGACCAACACUGACACUGAGGAGCGAAAGCCAGGGGAGCAAACGGG
rnacentral:rRNA from 1 species